rnacentral:rRNA from 1 species
GAUGAACGCUGGCGGCGUGCUUAACACAUGCAAGUCGAACGAUGAAAGCGGGAGCUUGCUCCUGCUGGAUUAGUGGCGAACGGGUGAGUAACACGUGAGUAACCUGCCCUUGACUCUGGGAUAAGCGUUGGAAACGACGUCUAAUACCGGAUACGACCUUCGGAGGCAUCUCCUGGGGGUGGAAAGAAUUUCGGUCAAGGAUGGACUCGCGGCCUAUCAGCUAGUUGGUGAGGUAAUGGCUCACCAAGGCGACGACGGGUAGCCGGCCUGAGAGGGUGACCGGCCACACUGGGACUGAGACACGGCCCAGACUCCUACGGGAGGCAGCAGUGGGGAAUAUUGCACAAUGGGCGCAAGCCUGAUGCAGCAACGCCGCGUGAGGGACGACGGCCUUCGGGUUGUAAACCUCUUUUAGUAGGGAAGAAGCGAAAGUGACGGUACCUGCAGAAGAAGCACCGGCUAACUACGUG